CCCCCCCCCCCUCUCUCCACAGAGACCCCUCCUCUUCAUAGCCCCCCCUCACCUGUCUGCACAGAAAGGCAGCCAAUGGGAGCAGAGCAGGAGGUCAUACGCCGAGGAGCUGCAGGGCAUCGACUUCAGCUGCCCCCCCUCAGACCCUCUCAGCAGAAGGCUUAAGGCCCUGAGUCUGGACCCUCAUCAGGUAGUCUCACCUGUAUGGACCAGCCAAUCAGGAGCAGACCCCGACACCUCAGGAUCUGUGGUCCUGCUUCCAGCUUCAGGACAACCGGCUGCAGCGGACCACAUC